rnacentral:rRNA from 1 species
AUUGAACGCUGGCGGCAUGCCUUACACAUGCAAGUCGAACGGUAACAGGUCUUCGGAUGCUGACGAGUGGCGAACGGGUGAGUAAUACAUCGGAACGUGCCUAGUAGUGGGGGAUAACUACUCGAAAGAGUGGCUAAUACCGCAUGAGAUCUACGGAUGAAAGCAGGGGAUCGCAAGACCUUGUGCUACUAGAGCGGCCGGUGGCAGAUUAGGUAGUUGGUGGGAUAAAAGCUUACCAAGCCGACGAUCUGUAGCUGGUCUGAGAGGACGAUCAGCCACACUGGGACUGAGACACGGCCCAGACCCCUACGGGAGGCAGCAGUGGGGAAUUUUGGACAAUGGGCGAAAGCCUGAUCCAGCAAUGCCGCGUGCAGGAUGAAGGCCUACGGGUUGUAAACUGCUUUUGUACGGAACGAAAAGCCCCGGGUUAAUACCCUGGGGUCAUGACGGUACCGUAAGAAUAAGCACCGGCUAACUACGUGCCAGCCGCCGCAGUAA